rnacentral:rRNA from 1 species
CAGCCGCCGCGGGAAUACGUAGGUGGCAAGCGUUGUCCGGAAUUAUUGGGCGUAAAGGGCUCGCAGGCGGUUUCUUAAGUCUGAUGUGAAAGCCCCCGGCUCAACCCGGGAGGGUCAUUGGAAACUGGGAAACUUGAGUGCAGAAGAGGAGAGUGGAAUUCCACGUGUAGCGGUGAAAUGCGUAGAGAUGUGGAGGAACACCAGUGGCGAAGGCGACUCUCUGGUCUGUAACUGACGCUGAGGAGCGAAAGCGUGGGGAGCGAACAGGAUUAGAGACCCCUGUAGUCCCUGUCUCUUAUAC